UACGAAGGGUGCAAGCGUUACUCGGAAUUACUGGGCGUAAAGCGUGCGUAGGUGGUUCGUUAAGUCUGAUGUGAAAGCCCUGGGCUCAACCUGGGAAUGGCAUUGGAAACUGGCGACCUAGAGUGCGGUAGAGGGUAGUGGAAUUCCCGGUGUAGUGGUGAAAUGCGUAGAUAUCGGGAGGAACACCAGUGGCGCAAGCGGCCGCCUGGCACUGACCUGACACUGAGCCACGACGGCGUGGGGAGCAAACGGG
rnacentral:rRNA from 1 species